GUCUCACGCACUGUUUGCACUUUGCCCUACAUUCUAACUUAGUCAUACACGUAAACCUGUUUGUAUCCCAUGUCAACUCUCGCCUCAAGCAAAUGGUCAUGAAAUGUGCACCAAAGGCGGAUGAAUUAAGUCUUGUCAAGAGGUACGUAUGAGCAGUUUCAAGUCAGAAGAAAACUUGCUUGACAUCAUUGGGCCCAAAACUUG
rnacentral:misc_RNA from 1 species